CCUACGGGGGGCAGCAGUGAGGAAUAUUGGUCAAUGGCCGGAAGGCUGAACCAGCCAUGCCGCGUGAAGGUCAGUGCCCUAUGGGCGUUAAACUUCUUUUGUGCGGGAGCAAUAAUGGUCACGUGUGGCCAGACGAGAGUACCGUACGAAUAAGCAUCGGCUAACUCCGUGCCAGCAGCCGCGGUAAUACGGGGGAUGCAAGCGUUAUCCGGGUUUAUUGGGUUUAAAGGGUGCAUAGGCUGUGAGGUAAGUCAGCGGGGAAAUGCCCCCGCUCAACGGGGUGAAGUGCCAUUGAUACUGCCUUGCUGGAAUGCGGAUGCCGUGGGAGGAAUGUGUGGUGUAGCGGUGAAAUGCAUAGAUAUCACACAGAACACCGAUUGCGAAGGCAUCUCACGAAUCCGCGAUUGACGCUGAUGCACGAAAGCGUGGGUAUCAAACAGGAUUAGAUACCCUUGUAGUC
rnacentral:rRNA from 1 species